AAUCUGAGCGAAUUCAUUGAGGGGGCAAGUAACUCCCAAGCCAUCACACACACAUGCCAGGAACCUCUGGGAUUUUUUCUUCUCUGCUGUUUCCUUUUUGCUGUAUUCUAUUUCCAGCUACAUCUGGCAGGUAGUGGCAAGCAGUAACUGGCAACUGGCAAACAGUGAGGGAGCUCAGGCUGGGAGUGAAAGCAGCAUGACAUGGAUGAAGCUCCAGCUGAGGUGAAAGUUUUAGGGAAGGAAGUGCAGAGACCAGCUACAGGCAGCUUCCCAGACCGAUACAGCAUGCGAAGCUUGAGCCAUUUUGGAAAGCAUCCCCCAGGCUAUAUGCUUGACUUGGGUCUUGGGACAACACUAUGAGAGUGUGGGGAAUAUAC